AGUUGUACAGUUUUUUGAAAAAGGAAUUGAAAUCACUUGAACUGGAAGAAUUUUAUAGUUCACCAGUUUGUCCAAAGAGCUGCCAUUACACAGAACCAAACUGAGCAGCUUGGAAGCAGAAAUGUAUUGUUUCAUUGUCCUGGAGGCCAGAAAGUGGAGGUGAAGUUGCCUGUAGGUGUGGAUUCUUCUGAAGUCUGCUAGGGAAGAAUGAUCUCUGUUGGCUGUGUACCAACAGGAUUUCCAAAGUGGCUAACCUGGAAGCUGGAUGUAUGAAAGAGCCCUCAGCCCAC